rnacentral:rRNA from 1 species
UACGAGGGGGGCAAAUGUUGUUCGGAAUCACUGGGCGUAAAGGGAGCGUAGGCGGGUUUUUAAGUCAGGUGUUUAAUCCCGGGGCCCAACCCCGGACAGGCACUUGAAACUGGGAAUCUUGAAUAGUGGAGAGGUCAGUGGAAUUGGGGGUGUAGCGGUGGAAUGCGUAGAGAUCCCCAAGAACACCCGUUGCGAAGGCGGCUGACUGGACACAUAUUGACGCUGAGGCUCGAAAGCAUGGGGAGCAAACAGGG